UACAGAGGGUGCAAGCGUUGUUCGGAAUUAUUGGGCGAAAGAGCGUGUAGGCGGCUAGAUAGGUCCGUUGUGAAAACUCGAGGCUCAACCUCGAGACGUCGAUGGAAACCAUCUGGCUAGAGUUCGGUAGGGGAGACUGGAAUUCCUGGUGUAGCGGUGAAAUGCGCAGAUAUCAGGAGGAACACCGGUGGCGAAGGCGGGUCUCUGGGCCGAUACUGACGCUGAGGAGCGAAAGCGUGGGGAGCGAACAGG
rnacentral:rRNA from 1 species